UAAUAUUGGACAAUGGGCGCAAGCCUGAUCCAGCCAUGCCGCGUGAGUGAUGAAGGCCCUAGGGUUGUAAAGCUCUUUCACCGGUGAAGAUAAUGACGGUAACCGGAGAAGAAGCCCCGGCUAACUUCGUGCCAGCAGCCGCGGUAAUACGAAGGGGGCUAGCGUUGUUCGGAAUUACUGGGCGUAAAGCACACGUAGGCGGACAUUUAAGUCAGGGGUGAAAUCCCGGGGCUCAACCCCGGAACUGCCUUUGAUACUGGAUGUCUGGAGUAUGGAAGAGGUGAGUGGAAUUCCGAGUGUAGAGGUGAAAUUCGUAGAUAUUCGGAGGAACACCAGUGGCGAAGGCGGCUCACUGGUCCAUUACUGACGCUGAGGUGCGAAAGCGUGGGGAGCAAACAGG
rnacentral:rRNA from 1 species